GCCGUAAUAACUGAAAGAGUAAUUGAACAAAGAGAAUCUGUCAGUUGCGCUUGGGAUAUUUUCUAAUGUUCAUCGAGAAUUGUCACUAAUGCAAUGCGGAUGUCCCGAGCGAAUUGCAUAUAAAACCGGGAUGGACCGUCACGGAACGUCUUUGACGCGUGUGAACGUUCCGGUGAAGUAUUAAACUAAUUUGGACGGAAGCAGACGUUCCGGUGACGAUGACGGAAGGAGACGGAUCAUCUGAAUCGUACAUUAGCCAGUUCGAACGAAAGACAAAUAGAAGCAAACUUGAUUUUGAGUUAUUUGAACAGUUCGAAGUGUUGAUGAGUUUAUUUGAUAUUCAUUACUUGAACAUUAGAAUUGAUAACUUGAUUUUUCUAAGUCUGUUAGCAGACAAUUAUGUAUAAAAUGUCCAUUACGAUCUAAGUAACAAAUGUAAACAAACCGAA